rnacentral:rRNA from 1 species
AUCUACCUAGUAGUACGGAAUAGCCAUUAGAAAUGGUGGGUAAUACUGUAUAAUCCCCGAGGGGGAAAGAUUUAUCGCUAUUAGAUGAGCCUACGUUAGAUUAGCUAGUUGGUGAGGUAAUGGCUUACCAAGGCUAUGAUCUAUAGCUGGUCUGAGAGGACGAUCAGCCACACUGGAACUGAGAUACGGUCCAGACUCCUACGGGAGGCAGCAGUGGGGAAUAUUGGACAAUGGGCGAAAGCCUGAUCCAGCUAUGCCGCGUGAGUGAAGAA